rnacentral:rRNA from 1 species
UCAACCUGGGAAUUGCAUUCGAUACUGGCCGACUAGAGUACGAGAGAGGGAGGUAGAAUUCCACGUGUAGCGGUGAAAUGCGUAGAUAUGUGGAGGAAUACCGGUGGCGAAGGCGGCCUCCUGGCUCGAUACUGACGCUGAGGUGCGAAAGCGUGGGUAGCAAACAGGAUUAGAUACCCUGGUAGUCCACGCCGUAAACGAUGUCUACUAGCCGUUGGGAGACUUGAUUUCUUAGUGGCGCAGCUAACGCACUAAGUAGACCGCCUGGGGAGUACGGCCGCAAGGUUAAAACUCAAAUGAAUUGACGGGGGCCCGCACAAGCGGUGGAGCAUGUGGUUUAAUUCGAUGCAACGCGAAGAACCUUACCAGGUCUUGACAUCCUCGGAACUUUCCAGAGAUGGAUUGGUGCCUUCGGGAACCGAGAGACAGGUGCUGCAUGGCUGUCGUCAGCUCGUGUCGUGAGAUGUUGGGUUAAGUCCCGUAACGAGCGCAACCCUUGUCCUUAGUUGCUAGCAGGUAAUGCUGACAACUCUAAGGAGACUGCCGGUGACAAACCGGAGGAAGGUGGGGACGACGUCAAGUCAUCAUGGCCCUUACGACCUGGGCUGCACACGUGCUACAAUGGAACGCACAGAGGGUUGCAACCUCGCGAGAGUGAGCUAAUCCCACAAAACGUUUCGUAGUCCGGAUCGGAGUCUGCAACUCGACUCCGUGAAGUCGGAAUCGCUAGUAAUCGCGAAUCAGAAUGUCGCGGUGAAUACGUUCCCGGGCCUUGUACACACCGCCCGUCACACCAUGGGAGUGGGUUGCAAAAGAAGUGGGUAGACUAACCUUCGGGAGGUCGCUCACCACUUUGUGAUUCAUGACUGGGGUGAAGUCGUAACAAGGUA